UUUAAAGAAGUACUGGGAAGUUCAAAACUCCCAAAUCCUGGCAGUGGCUAAAGAAGGAGAAAGGAAAGUUUUGAACUGAGGACAACGUGAUUUAUCUGGCAAGAGCUUCGUGGAGGAAGGUCAGCCCAAAGUGACAGAAAUGCAGGCAACAGGAAUUGCUACCCACUUUGCAAACUUCGGCCUGAGUGUGUAAUGAAGGAUGAUUGUGCUACCUGGUGUGAGCAAGCGGAUUUAUCUCAGAGGCCCUCAAUUCCAGAAGUGAAUUUCCUUGAAGGUUACAUGGGAACUGCUGUGAGAAGUCCAGCUGCAUCCCCUCAACUCCUUGCUACUACAGCCUUAAUUCAAGACUUCAAGCAACACUGUGUUUUGCUCCAGACUGUGCAAUUGUAGCGCUUAACUCUUCAUUAUCACUCUGAGAGUCGCUGACACAUCUGAGAUUUUAAAUCUGUGUUAAAAUACUUCCAGCUUGGGUUCUUUUGGUUUUGGUUUUUGUUUUGUUGGUUUUUUUUGUAUUAAAAUGUGGGGUGUUAGGAAACAUUAUCAUCAGCUUCUUACCUCCAACCAGAGCCUUGUUUGUGAGUAGGAAGUGUGAAUGGGUUUGGAUUCCAAACACGUGCCCACCCAUGUGCGCGGAACUCUUAAUUAAGGACUAUGCCACCAGCCCCUAUAUAUUCAUUUUUCUUAAAUAUAUUCCAGAAAAACCUAGUAGGUUUAUAAAGAUUAUCAUACCAUUAAAUGAUAAUAGUAGAAAAGAGUUUUUACUGAACCAGAAAACAAGCAAAUUAAUAGAAGCAGAGAAAUGACAGCCUGCUGUGAAACCAAUGGUUACAAAUUGGUUUCCUCUAGUCACAGUUGCCUUUAACUGCUUUAGAUUCUCAGCAGCUUUUCAUUAGGAAUCUCCAUGUGCUCUUUUCAAGAAGAAAAUGCAUAACCCCUUUAUUAUUGGAAAUGCAGGUAGAAUGUGCAUAAUAUCAAUUUGAGAUUGGUAAAUUGGCAAAUUGAUAUUUAAUGUCUUUUAGGGGCUAGUUUCUCUACAGGGUUAGGUGGAUUUCUGACAACAUAGGUAUAAACCACAAAGUACAGUUGUUUUUGUGGUAUUUAUGAGAUUUGUGAUUAGGGCUGAUGAAAAAAAUAUUUUAAGUAUUUUACAAGCUUUUGUUUUGAGUUUUUUUCCAUUUCUGUCAGAUAAAAACAUC